AGCUGACUAGCUCAGCUGGUUAGAGUGUCAUGCUAAUAACAUGAAUGUCUUGGGUUCAACCCCUACAUUGGCCA